CUGGGGUAAUGGCUCAGUGGUAGAGUGCUCACCUAGCAUGCAAGAGGCACUGGGUUCAAUCCUCAGCACCACAGA
rnacentral:tRNA from 1 species